rnacentral:lncRNA from 1 species
UUCUCAGAAUUUGUUGUAUGAGUAAGCCUUCUUAAUAUAACUCUCUCUCUCUCUCUCUCUCUCUCUCUCUCUCUCUCUCUCUCUCUCUCUCUCUCUCUCUCUCUCUCUCCUUUGCUUAUUAAGUUCUUUUGAAUGAGGUAUGUCCUGCCAGAGUUCCCAUGCCUGGAAUAGCCUUGGUCUCAUUCUACCAAGUCAAGGUAGUGCUUAUGAGUUCAAAUUUGCAUUUUCCUGUUAGGAUUUCUGGUCUAUGCUGCUAUUGUUUAAACUUUGUGCACUGUGCUUAAAUGUUGGAGACCAUGAAUUUUUACUGCUGGUUUCCUUCUGUGAUAUUUCUUGCCUUAGUGUUUCUGGGUGUCUCAAUAACUAUUUGUCCCACAGUGUCAUUUUUCUCUAUAUUAUCUAGGUUGGUGCAUAUCCAUUGAUGGUUUUCUACCUCCCCAAUCCAAUGAUCUCUGCUGGAAGCUUUCCAGCUUAUCAAUAUCUUUCCUAAAAUGGGACAUCAAGAAGUUCCCACUAUACUCUGGCUGUAGCUUAUGUUGUUCAUUCUUAGUUUUUCAAAGAGUUUUCAAUAACAUCAUGGGGUGAUGUCUUGACUUGAGCAUGAAUAGGAUUUAAGUGAGGCAUUGCUGCACAGUCAUCAACCUCAUUUUCUCUUCCAGAGUCAUGCAAGUCGAGUGGCAGGACAAAAGUCAAGAUGACUGGGAUGCAAUGGAUGGCCUUGGUGUCUUUGGUGUCUGACCAAGCUCUAAGCCCUCCAUUAGAACACGCUGUUCUCAUCUGCCCAUUCUGAUGAGGGAAAUCUUCACAUGCUUGGCAUAUACUUCCCUCCAAUUCACUAAUAAGUUGGAAGCCUAUUGGCUUCCUUCAACCUGGCUUAGCCCAUCUACUGAAAUGGUUUUAGCCAAGUGUGGCCACUGUGCAUGCUACAGCUUCUUGGAGCCACAGGAAUUUGUUAUGGACUGAAGUGUGUAUACACCAAGCUACAUAUGGCUCCAUGGAUCAGAGAUCUCCACAGAGCCAGCUUAUCUGCUACGUGGGGCUUGUAAUGUCCUUCCUGCCUGCUGCCUUCUGUAGCACACAAGGAACCAGAGACACGAAGAGGAAGACUAGUCUGAAAUGAGACAGGUUUCAUUGAUCUGUAGAGCAAACAAGAGACUGGGACCACUCAGAAGACACAGAACAGCAUGUCCAUCCAGGCCCUCCCUAGAAGCGUCCCUUCCUCAUG